rnacentral:rRNA from 1 species
UACGUAGGGGGCAAGCGUUGUUCGGAAUUACUGGGCGUAAAGGGCGCGUAGGCGGCCUGUUAAGUCGAACGUGAAAUCCCCGGGCUCAACCCGGGAACUGCGUCCGAUACUGGCAGGCUUGAAUCCGGGAGAGGGAUGCGGAAUUCCCAGUGUAGAGGUGAAAUUCGUAGAUAUUGGGAAGAACACCGGUGGCGAAGGCGGCUUGCUGGGCCUUACCUGACGCUGAGGAGCGAAAGCGUGGGGAGCGAACAGG